AUUGAACGCUGGCGGCAGGCCUAACCCAUGCAAGUCGAGCGGAGCGGCGGACGGGUGAGUAAUGCCUAGGAAUCUGCCUGGUAGUGGGGGAUAACGUCCGGAAACGGGCGCAAAGAUCGCAUACUAUCAGAUGAGCAUAGGUCGGAUUAGCUAGUUGGUGGGGUAAAGGCCUACCAAGGCGAAGAUCCGUAACUGGUCUGAGAGGCCGAUCAGUAAAACUGUGAAUGAGAAAUGGUCCAGAAGCCUACGGGAGUCAGCAGUGGGGAAUAUUCGACAAUGGGGGAAAGCCUGAUCCAGCCAUGCCGGGUUUGUGAAGAAGGCCUUCGGCUUGUAAAGCACUUUCAGUGUGGAGGCGUUACCAACAGAAUAAGACCCGGCUAAUUACGUGCCAGCAGCCGCGGGAAUAC
rnacentral:rRNA from 1 species